rnacentral:misc_RNA from 1 species
GGAGAAGGUCACAAGGAAGAAUAUAAUACUUCUAUCAUUGAUCGAGCGGGGCAUUGAUCGAGUGGGGCAACCAUGCCACCAUCCUAACAUGAGGAUGAUAUGAAGAAGGUGUAAGAAAAUACACACAAGUUCAUAUAAAGAUACAUAAGGGAAUCGGGAGAUCAAUAUGCGAGAACCAGACAUGGUGGAGGAUUUGAAGAGGCACAAGAUGUUUGGGAGAGCUGUGUUCAACAUGGUAAAUAACUUGGAGAGGCACUUGAUAUUCCGGAGACAUUUGUUCAAUAGGAGGUGUUCGCGACAAAUCGAUGAGGACAUUGAUUGUCUAAGUGGGGGAGAAUGUAAGGGGGAC